rnacentral:rRNA from 1 species
GAUGAACGCUAGCGGCAGGCCUAAUACAUGCAAGUCGAACGGGAUUGCGGUAGUAGCUUGCUACUACUGCAUGAGAGUGGCGCACGGGUGCGUAACGCGUGAGCAACCUACCCAUAUCAGGGGGAUAGCCCGGCGAAAGUCGGAUUAACACCGCAUAACAUCAACAGUUCGCAUGUUCAGUUGAUUAAAUAUUUAUAGGAUAUGGAUGGGCUCGCGUGACAUUAGCUAGUUGGUAGGGUAACGGCUUACCAAGGCAACGAUGUCUAGGGGCUCUGAGAGGAGAAUCCCCCACACUGGUACUGAGACACGGACCAGACUCCUACGGGAGGCAGCAGUAAGGAAUAUUGAUCAAUGGGCGCAAGCCUGAACCAGCCAUGCCGCGUGCAGGAGGACUGCCCUAUGGGUUGUAAACUGCUUUUAUCAGGGAAUAAACCCCUUUACGAGUAGAGGGUUGAAUGUACCUGAAGAAUAAGGAUCGGCUAACUCCGUG